rnacentral:rRNA from 1 species
UACGAAGGGGGCUAGCGUUGUUCGGAAUUACUGGGCGUAAAGGGCUCGUAGGCGGCCAACUAAGUCCGACGUGAAAUCCCUCAGCUUAACUGGGGAACUGCGUCCGAUACUGGAUGGCUUGAGUUUGGGAGAGGGAUGCGGAAUUCCAGGUGUAGCGGUGAAAUGCGUAGAUAUCUGGAGGAACACCGGUGGCGAAGGCGGCAUCCUGGACCAACACUGACACUGAGGAGCGAAAGCCAGGGGAGCAAACGGG